rnacentral:lncRNA from 1 species
CUGUAAAGUAUGAAGACUGUACUCUUCUGUGGCUCAUAAAUUGAUUGAGAAGGCAGUUGCAAAAUGCUCAUACUGAUGACAGCAUUACCGACAUAAGAGUAUAACCAUUUAGAUAGUCUGUUUUAAAUAACAUAGUGACUUGGUUUCAUUUAUGUUUUAGAUACUGACAUUAGGAUAUGUGCAGCUAAUUUGUUUAUUUAAGGUAAAAUCUUUACGGGGAAAAAAAAGAGAGAACCCCAUUACAGAACAGCUGGUGGUUCCACUGUUGAGAAAGAAAGAAGUGAGAAAAAGCCACUGUCAUCUCUCAGCUUCUCAUCCAUGCUGGAGGUCUUUAUACAUGGUCUCCUUACUGCGCACCUCUGUACCUGUCUCCACUCCUUUCUUCCUCCCAGUAAGGGACCUUCCAAUGGUAAGAGCCCUACUAUCCUAUAGGUCUCAAAUCUCAUCUAAAAUGUCACUCACUCAAACUUUAUUUCAAUAAACUAUUUAAUAUCAGUUGUUGAGUUAUAAAAUCUUUCACUUGUUUUUUUAUUCUCCAUCACGAGGAAACUCCUUGAAGGCAGUACCUGUGGUGGUCAUUUUCACUAUGGCGCCCUCACUACUCGCACAGUGCCUAGUAUACAGUAGGUACCCAAUAAAUAUUUGUUGAAAAAAUGAAAACAAAUUGAAAGCCAAAGUCUUUCUUUUGGAGUCUUGCUUUUGGAGUACAAAACACAAAAUUCCACUGGUUCUCUGGGAAUAUUUUUUUAACCCUAAAAUUCUGAAGUGGAACAAAUGAGAUUGCACAUUAAGAUCUUGAGGCCCACUUCCUUGACUACACAUGUAAGGGAGGGAAAGAUCUCUCAGGAGGAGGAGAAUAAUUAAAUAUAACAACUUAAAACUUGUAAUUCAUUGUUGGUUUGUAGUUUGGAUUUCCUGAUUGUCAACAUCACUAGUUAUACAUCGUAAAAUUGUGGGCUUCUCUGACAUUCAGUAGAAUUAUCUGUCAUCUAGUUCAUUGUUUCAGAGCAAGUGAGAAUACGAUAGAAGCACGCUAGUUAGAUUAUGCUUCUACUCUGUUGGAAAGGGUGAAAAAACAUUAGGAGAGAAUAGGACUUUAUAGUUAAUAAAUUGGAAAUAAAUAUCAAAACAGCUCAGUGUUGUUUUAAUAGUUUAUAAAGUCAUUAUCAAAACUUGCAAACAGC